UUAAAAACAAAAAAAGAACUAAUGCCGUUUGCCAAAUGGGGACACGUGUGACCCAAAAAGAAUACCUUACAGCUCAAUGAAGGGUAGACCUUUAUUAGCAUGAUCCGGUCUGCAAAAACAGGACAUGUAAGCCCUGAAAACUGCACUGCACACAGUAGAGAAGGGCUGAAAAAAUGAACAGGAGAGCAUGAGCUGGAAUGAUGUUAACUGUAAAUAAGUCAAAGAGGAGCCAGCAGACCCUGAGACACAUGAAAUCUGCCAUGUAACAAAGUUUGGGAAUUGGGAAUUUGAAGGCCUGGAGGCAUUUGUUAAGGGAGAGAUGGAGCCACGCUUAACUGGACACUGUGAGGAGACACCACAAGAUGAGGCAGUGGAAAGCAACACAAAUUUUGUCUCUGCAGGAGACUCUUCUUUUUUUCUCCCUUCUCCACACUACGCUGUCUCCUUUACAGAGUCUGGCUUCCUGCAGCAGCAUGUCAAGUAUCAUCACUGUGAUUAGCACUAUGGUAUAGUUAGACAAGUGUCCUCUAGAUAUCUGUCCUCAGUGCAGUGCUACUGUCCGGAUGUUGAUGGAGCUCACAGUUCAUAAGAAACAGGCACAUCCUUCUAAUCCAUCUAUGAAACUCCACACAUGCCCAGUUCGUGCACUCAGCUUUGAUUAUCUGAAUUACCUAAGAUCCGUGUCAGGGGUCAUUAUCUUUAAAGCAGCGAUUGCUCGGACUGUAAAAGAGUUUCCAUAGUCCUGUGCAAAGGGGCACUGCCAAUGUGUCGGCCAGAAAACCAAAAUGAGAUUUCUUAAUAUCUUAAAUAUGCAACACCAAAAUCCCAUGUAGAAGGUGUAAAUUGUCAGGAGUGUGGUAAAAAUAUUGAUAAACCUUACCGGCUCUUUGAAGCACAUGUUUCUAUCUGUAAAUAGUAUGGAAAGUCCUUUGCAGACAGCAGUACACUGUGUAAACAUAGGAACCCUUGCAGUCACAGCCAUAUCAUGAGUGUGAGAUGUGAAAGAGUAUUUCCAUUUUAAUGCUUACUGUUUACACAGCAUGAUACAGCAUGUAUGCAAAACUGUUCAUUUAGAUUAGUUGAAAAAUGCUUUUAUUCACUGUCAGUUAAAGCAAGUUUUAUAUCAUGAUACUUUGACCUUUUAGGUUUGGAAAAUUGUAUUCUGAAUUUUGCCAAUAAAUGAUAUUGAAU